rnacentral:rRNA from 1 species
UACGUAGGUGGCAAGCGUUACUCGGAAUCACUAGGCGUAAAGCGCAGGUAGGCGGUUUGAUAAGUUUCUUGUGAAAGCUCCCGGCUCAACUGGGAGAGGCCAAGGAAAACUGUCAGGCUAGAGUGUGGCAGAGGAAGCUAGAAUUCCCGGUGUAGCGGUGAAAUGCGUAGAUAUCGGGAGGAAUACCUAUGGCGAAAGCAGGCUUCUGGGCCGUCACUGACGCUGAUCUGCGAAAGCUAGGGGAGCAAACAG